UGCAAGUCGAGGGGUAUUUAUCUUCGGAUAGAGAGACCGGCGCACGGGUGCGUAACGCGUAUGCAAUCUACCUUUUACAGCGGGAUAGCCCAGAGAAAUUUGGAUUAAUACCUCAUAGUAUUAUGAAAUGGCAUCAUUUUAUAAUUAAAGUCACAACGGUAAAAGAUGAGCAUGCGUCCCAUUAGCUAGUUGGUAAGGUAACGGCUUACCAAGGCUACGAUGGGUAGGGGUCCUGAGAGGGAGAUCCCCCACACUGGUACUGAGACACGGACCAGACUCCUACGGGAGGCAGCAGUGAGGAAUAUUGGACAAUGGGCGCAAGCCUGAUCCAGCCAUGCCGCGUGCAGGAUGACGGUCCUAUGGAUUGUAAACUGCUUUUAUACGAGAAGAAACACUGCUACGUGUAGCAGCUUGACGGUAUCGUAAGAAUAAGGAUCGGCUAACUCCGUGCCAGCAGCCGCGGUAAUACGGAGGAUCCAAGCGUUAUCCGGAAUCAUUGGGUUUAAAGGGUCCGUAGGCGGUUUAAUAAGUCAGUGGUGAAAGCCCAUCGCUCAACGGUGGAACGGCCAUUGAUACUGUUAGACUUGAAUUAUUAGGAAGUAACUAGAAUAUGUAGUGUAGCGGUGAAAUGCUUAGAGAUUACAUGGAAUACCAAUUGCGAAGGCAGGUUACUACUAAUGUGAUUGACGCUGAUGGACGAAAGCGUGGGUAGCGAACAGGAUUAGAUACCCUGGUAGUCCACGCCGUAAACGAUGGAUACUAGCUGUUGGGAGCAAUCUCAGUGGCUAAGCGAAAGUGAUUAAGUAUCCCACCUGGGGAGUACGUUCGCAAGAAUGAAACUCAAGGAAUUUGACGGGGGCCCGCACAAGCGGUGGAGCAUGUGGUUUAAUUCGAUGAUACGCGAGGAACCCUUACCAAGGCUUAAAUUGUAGAUUGACCGUUUUGGAAACAGAACUUUCGCAAGACA
rnacentral:rRNA from 1 species